UUUACAUGCGGCGUAACUUGCGUAAGCGUAACUUGCGCCAAACUCCGUCAGCCAAUCAAAUCGUUUCAUCUACUAUAUGCAUAUCCGCUUAGUUAUUUAACGCAUUUUACGCUUUUGCCGAUACGCCAAAUCCAAUUUUUCACGUAAAUCGGUAAUGCAUAUGUAUUAGUGAUGUGUGUGUACGUGCGAUCACCAAGUAUUGUAAUGUAAUUUGACUCACAAAAAUUAGAAAAAAUGGAUCAAAUUCAGUUGAAAAAAAAUCCAAUGGUUGACAGAAAAGAAAAUUUGGAUGAACUAUUAAUCGAAGCAGUUAGAAGCAAACGUGGGCUGUAUGAUUCUUGUAUACCUGCUUCGGAGAGAACUAUGUUGCGCAAAAAUGCAUUAUGGAUGGAAGUUUUGAAUAUACUACAAGGAUUUCUCAGUCCAGAGAAAGCUAAAGCUCGAUGGAAGUAUCUGUGAGAUAAUUAUAUAAAAGCUCGCAAGAAGAUUCGAGCAUACAUACCCAGUAGAUCGGCAGCUACUGCUACUAAAACCAAUAAUAACUCGAGGUUUCAAUAUUAUGAGCUUAUGAGAUUCCUGAACGAAUCAUUGCAAACACGACAGACAGUAAGUUCAUUACCAGAUGCCAGUGCUAAGAAUGAAGUAGUCACUUCAUUUGACACA